rnacentral:rRNA from 1 species
GAUGAACGCUGGCGGCGUGCCUAAUACAUGCAAGUCGAACGAAACUUCUUUAUCACCGAGUGCUUGCACUCACCGAUAAAGAGUUGAGUGGCGAACGGGUGAGUAACACGUGGGCAACCUGCCCAUAAGAGGGGGAUAACACUUGGAAACAGGUGCUAAUACCGCAUAACCAUAGUUACCGCAUGGUAACUAUGUAAAAGGUGGCUAUACUACCGCUUUUGGAUGGGCCCGCGGCGCAUUAGCUAGUUGGUAGGGUAAAGGCUUACCAAGGCAAUGAUGCGUAGCCGAAUUGAGAGGUUGAUCGGCCACAUUGGGACUGAGACACGGCCCAAACUCCUACGGGAGGCAGCAGUAGGGAAUCUUCCACAAUGGGCGAAAGCCUGAUGGAGCAACGCCGCGUGGGUGAAGAAGGUCUUCGGAUCGUAAAACCCUGUUGUUAGAGAAGAAAGUGCGUGAGAGUAACUGUUCACGUUUCGACGGUAUCUAACCGGAAAGCCACGGCUAACUACGUG